UCUUCGCAGUCUACCAUGCAGUCGAGCGGUACAGGAGAAGCUUGCUUUCUUGCUGACGAGCGCGCGGACGGGUGAGUAAUGUAUGGGGAUCUGCCCGAUAGAGGGGGAUAACUACUGGAAACGGUGGCUAAUACCGCAUAAUGUCUACGGACCAAAGCAGGGGCUCUUCGGACCUUGCACUAUCGGAUGAACCCAUAUGGGAUUAGCUAGUAGGUGGGGUAAAGGCUCACCUAGGCGACGAUCUCUAGCUGGUCUGAGAGGAUGAUCAGCCACACUGGGACUGAGACACGGCCCAGACUCCUACGGGAGGCAGCAGUGGGGAAUAUUGCACAAUGGGCGCAAGCCUGAUGCAGCCAUGCCGCGUGUAUGAAGAAGGCCUUAGGGUUGUAAAGUACUUUCAGCGGGGAGGAAGGUGAUAAGGUUAAUACCCUUAUCAAUUGACGUUACCCGCAGAAGAAGCACCGGCUAACUCCUGU
rnacentral:rRNA from 1 species